GAGGGUGUAGCUCAGCAGUAGAGCCCAAGCUUAGCAUGCACGAGGUUCUGAGUUCAAUUCCCAGUACCUCCA
rnacentral:tRNA from 1 species